CUUCUUUCUCUUUCGUCUCCCACGCUUUCUCCCCUUCUCUUCUUUCUCCUUUGUCUCUUUAGCCGAUUAACUUUCUCUCCUUUCUCCUUUCUCUCCUCCGCCCGUUGCUUCAUUCUAUUCGAUCUUCAUCUUGUUGUUGUUUUCAUCCUCUCAAGUUUUUAGAUCUGGUACCAGAGCAUUUUUGCGGAUCUCAGAUCCGAGAGCAAAGCUUGUCAAUACGAUGCUGACCGUGAUGUAAACUAAGGAAGAGAAGAGAAGCUCACUCGUCGCAACCCUCUCGAUUUCUCUACCCACCCUUCGUUGUAUACAACCUGUCAAGAAGCUACAAAGAUCAAUUUUGGCAUCUAACAAUUAGGAUUCCCUUGUGUUAAAGAUUGACAUGGACACAAUUGAAGUCAGUAACCUGAAUAGGCAAUUUCUAUUUCGUCCUUCUCAUGAAUAGGCAACCUGAGCUCAUUCUCCCUCGCUUCAAGGUAUGUAAGCAACUUGAGCUCAUUCUCCCUCGUUUGUGUUUGUUAAAUCCAGUUUAUGUAUAUGUAAGCAAUUCGAAUGCCUUGAAGUCCAACAGAAUAUGAUAUUGACAAAUCUUGUUGCCCAUCCUUGUAUCUCUUGUAGCCAGUUAUAAAUAUCAAACCGUAGGCAGUUUUUGUGAAUUGCAUUAAUCUAUGAAUAGACCUUGAUCAUCACGAAUUAACCAUCCUGAAGUAGCUUGUCUUUCUCCAUUGAUGAAGCUGCCAUCAUAAUUGCAUUUAACCCAUCGAGGAGGUGGUUUCUGCCAGGUAGAGGUGUCUCUUCUGUAACUACUAACAUUUGUUCGGUUUUGGGGUGAGGGCUCCGUGUUUGUAGCCAGAAUCGCUAACCAUUCAUCUGUUUCUUGCUUUGCUUCUCUUAAAACCCGUUGCCAAUGAUGAUUUAUUUUCUGAAAGGUGAGUAAGCUGAAUUGUAGUAGAGAUAAUCUAUCAUGGCUUCUCCGUUGUUUGUGAAAUUGCAGGAUCUCUUUAAUUUUGGCUUCAAGGGGUUCAGUUGGGUUUAGAAGACAAGAUAUUGGAACGUUUGAGCCUCUCCAAAUCUGCAUUAUAUGUGGACAAGAGAAGAAAAGAUGUUCAGUUGUUUGAUUACAGUGACACAUCGUUUGCAGAAAGGGUUCGUACUUCGUAGGCAUGUGACAUCCCUCGAGCUCUGCAUUUUCAAUAUAUAUUUUUUUUUAGUAGUAUGAUGUAUUCUUUGUAUUCUUAUUUUUAAUUAUGUUUUUAGUUUUA